rnacentral:rRNA from 1 species
UGGUGGAGUGAUUUGUCUGGUUAAUUCCGAUAACGAACGAGACCUCAACUUGUUAACUAGUGUCGGCAAUCUUCUACUCGGGUGAAGGGGUCGAAUUCCUGUUGCCGGGGAAACUCGGUGGCAGGAUCGGCCCUUGGAUCCUUGAAGUUUUGUCGGCUUUACUUCUUAAAAGGACAAUCUGCGUCUAGCAGAAGGAAGGGAGGCAAUAACA